CAGAGGCUUCUUCAGCCUCCCCACUUUAUCUUUUUCUUUCUGAGAGCUUGGCUGCUCGCCCAAAAGACAGAUGGAAAUUAAGUAUCAAGCUUGGGAGGAAAUCAGAUUCAUAGGGAAAAGGGCCAUCCAACCCAAGGAAAGAUCUGGUGCAAACACUAGGUGCCAGGAGCAGAAGGCAAGGUGGGUGGAUUCGAGCUUGAGGCUGAAGCUAGGGUUUGGCCUGAAUCUCUGAUCAGAGAAGGAUGGUUAAGCCGAGUUAGAGCUGGGGUCAGAGUCAAGGCUUAAGACAGGACAAGUAUUAGGCUGGCCUAAAAGCACAACAGAUGGGAAAGAGCUUGGAACCAAUCCAAGUCAGAUUUUAGUUCUGAAAUAUCAAUUACUUGCUGGGGGACUCAGCCUCCUGCACAAUCGUUUAGUGUUGUUGAAAGAAAUGCUUGGAGAAUUAAAAUGUAAAUGAGAUAAUGACUGUAAACUUCCUGCUGAUGCCUGACAAAUAGCAAGUGCUUAAUAAUGAACAGUGGCUAUGAUGAUUAUUCCUACCCCUCUAGCAGAGGCAAGGGGGGCACAAGUUGUCUGGCCCGGCUCAGCCCGGGGCCUCUGGCCUGUACUGGCAAUGCCAGGUCUGGACAGCAGAGGGCGCAGGGCUCCCCUUCCCUCCCUCCUUCUACCUCCUGCCCUGGCCUCCUAAAGCUGGCAGAACUAGAAUCUUAGGGACAGAGAAAUGGGAUCUUAGGGACAGAAUUGUGGUCUUAACUGGUUUGUUAAAACUCUUGAUUUUUUAGCAAAGCCUAAGAUGCAGCAGUGAUGAUGCCAAAAGCCGUUACAGACGAAGUUGUGCCAAGGCAGACGCUGAGGCAGCCCUGCUAGGGGCCGCCCUACUGAAUGGCUGAGAACAUUCAGGAUGCCCUCUCCUACAGGGUGGAAAAUCCUCGUGCUUUUCAUCAAACACGCAUGGGCCCUCUCUGUGUCUGGCAUUGUCAUUCCAGUUUGAGUAUCUUCGCUUGUUGUCCUCAACCUUGCUGUUCACCAACAGGUGUCCGAGGGCCCCACCAGUUAAUAACUCAGUCCGUCUGUCUUCUCUGCCUGUUCCCUCUUUAAUUAUCCCAAGAGAAGAGCCUCCUACGUGGGCAGGGAGUGUGUGGGCAGCAGCACAGCACAGAAACAUAUCUGCACAUCACAGAAAUGCAGACAAGAGAAGGCCUUGAAAGAUGUGGAGAGAAGGCAACUUAAUGAGCCACAGAGGGAGGGACUGAGCCAGUGGGUGAGUGGGCAUCUCAAGGACUAAUCUGUGACUGGUUCCGCUCCUAGCACUGGAUCCCAGCUUGGGGGAGGGGGUGUGUGCAGUGUGUGUCAAAGCCAGAGGUGCUGGAGGCAGACCUAUCCCACCACCCUCACACCACUCUGUGUGUGAAUACUGGGUUUCCUGGGUAAAAGCACUGAUAAAUUUUGUGGGCCUGCAAGAUCCCUAGAAUAAGCAAUACCUUAUAAAGCUGGUUAUCGGACUGUACAUUAGGCUCUAUAUUCUCCUCUCUUUAGUUGUUUCCCCAGAACAUUUACUGAAGUGUUGUUUAAACGUUCCCCUCUUAUCUCAAUUGUGAUACAGAAUAUUGAAAGAAGGAUCAUGUGCCCACACUUGAGCCAGUGUGGCAGUAGCUAGGUGAUCGAGACUUCCCCAAGGGAAAGGUAAAUUAUUCUAGCUAUAAGAGUCAAACUAGGUGGGCCAGCACUCCCCUUCAAAAUACACACACACACACACACACACACACACACACAGAAACCAAAAAACUUGACAACUUUGGCAGAUCAAGGCUUGAGUCACAAUAGCAACUUCCCUCAGAACUGAUCUUGGCCCUAUGUCAGGACAUCUUCCACUUGCUUCCUUGACCUCUUAGGUUUCUGACUUGUUCUGGGAUAAGGGUCAAGGACUCUUUCCUCUUGGCACCCAUGUUGAGUUUGCAGUUCCCUCCUUGCUCUGAUCCUGAGCAAUCCCAAUCUCCCUAAAUGCUGACUUAAUCCCUGGCAUAGAUGGAAUUUCCCGGUUUUGAGAAAUGAACUUCCACCCUCUCGGCACCUCAUUUUCAUACCCUCCUCUGCACAC
rnacentral:lncRNA from 12 species